GAUGAACGCUGGCGGCGUGCUUAACACAUGCCAGUCGAACGGAAAGGCUCCUGCUUGCAGGGGUACUCGAGUGGCGAACGGGUGAGUAACACGUGGGUGAUCUGCCCUGCACUUCGGGAUAAGCCUGGGAAACUGGGUCUAAUACCGGAUAGGACGAUGGUUUGGAUGCCAUUGUGGAAGGUUUUUUCGGUGUGGGAUGAGCUCGCGGCCUAUCAGCUUGUUGGUGGGGUAAUGGCCUACCAAGGCGUCGACGGGUAGCCGGCCUGAGAGGGUGUACGGCCACAUUGGGACUGAGAUACGGCCCAGACUCCUACGGGAGGCAGCAGUGGGGAAUAUUGCACAAUGGGCGCAAGUCUGAUGCAGCGACGCCGCGUGGGGGAUGACGGCCUUCGGGUUGUAAACUCCUUUCGCUAGGGACGAAGCGCAAGUGACGGUACCUGGAGAAGAAGCACCGGCUAACUACGUG
rnacentral:rRNA from 1 species